rnacentral:rRNA from 1 species
GAUGAACGCUGGCGGCGUGCUUAACACAUGCAAGUCGAACGGAAAGGCUCCUGCUUGCAGGGGUACUCGAGUGGCGAACGGGUGAGUAACACGUGGGUGAUCUGCCCUGCACUUCGGGGUAAGCCUGGGAAACUGGGUCUAAUACCGGAUAGGACGAUGGUUUGGAUGCCAUUGUGGAAAGUUUUUCGGUGUGGGAUGAGCUCGCGGCCUAUCAGCUUGUUGGUGGGGUAAUGGCCUACCAAGGCGUCGACGGGUAGCCGGCCUGAGAGGGUGUACGGCCACAUUGGGACGGAGAUACGGCCCAGACUCCUACGGGAGGCAGCAGUGGGGAAUAUUGCACAAUGGGCGCAAGCCUGAUGCAGCGACGCCGCGUGGGGGAUGACGGCCUUCGGGUGGUAAACUCCUUUCGCUAGGGACGAAGCGCAAGUGACGGGACCUGGAGAAGAAGCACCGGCGAACUACGU